rnacentral:rRNA from 1 species
UACGUAGGGUGCGAGCGUUGUCCGGAAUUAUUGGGCGUAAAGAGCUCGUAGGCGGUGUGUCACGUCGGCCGUGAAAACCUGCAGCUUAACUGUGGGCGUGCGGUCGAUACGGGCAUCACUGGAGUUCGGCAGGGGAGACUGGAAUUCCUGGUGUAGCGGUGAAAUGCGCAGAUAUCAGGAGGAACACCGGUGGCGAAGGCGGGUCUCUGGGCCACUACUGACGCUGAGGAGCGAAAGCGUGGGGAGCAAACAGG